CCUACGGGAGGCUGCAGUGGGGAAUAUUGGACAAUGGGCGAAAGCCUGAUCCAGCCAUGCCGCGUGUGUGAAGAAGGCCUUCGGGUUGUAAAGCACUUUCAGUGGGGAAGAAAGCCUUGGGGCUAAUACCCUCGAGGAAGGACAUCACCCACAGAAGAAGCACCGGCUAACUCCGUGCCAGCAGCCGCGGUAAUACGGAGGGUGCGAGCGUUAAUCGGAAUUACUGGGCGUAAAGCGCGCGUAGGCGGUCUGAUAAGCCGGUUGUGAAAGCCCCGGGCUCAACCUGGGAACGGCAUCCGGAACUGUCAGGCUAGAGUGCAGGAGAGGAAGGUAGAAUUCCCGGUGUAGCGGUGAAAUGCGUAGAGAUCGGGAGGAAUACCAGUGGCGAAGGCGGCCUUCUGGACUGACACUGACGCUGAGGUGCGAAAGCGUGGGUAGCAAACAGGAUUAAUACCCGAGUAGUC
rnacentral:rRNA from 1 species